rnacentral:rRNA from 1 species
AUUGAACGCUGGCGGCAGGCCUAACACAUGCAAGUCGAACGGUAACAGGAAGCAGCUUGCUGCUUCGCUGACGAGUGGCGGACGGGUGAGUAAUGUCUGGGAAACUGCCUGAUGGAGGGGGAUAACUACUGGAAACGGUAGCUAAUACCGCAUAACGUCGCAAGACCAAAGAGGGGGACCUUCGGGCCUCUUGCCAUCGGAUGUGCCCAGAUGGGAUUAGCUAGUAGGUGGGGUAACGGCUCACCUAGGCGACGAUCCCUAGCUGGUCUGAGAGGAUGACCAGCCACACUGGAACUGAGACACGGUCCAGACUCCUACGGGAGGCAGCAGUGGGGAAUAUUGCACAAUGGGCGCAAGCCUGAUGCAGCCAUGCCGCGUGUAUGAAGAAGGCCUUCGGGUUGUAAAGUACUUUCAGCGGGGAGGAAGGCGAUAAGGUUAAUAACCUUGUCGAUUGACGUUACCCGCAGAAGAAGCACCGGCUAACUCCGUGCCAGCAGCCGCGGUAAUACGGAGGGUGCAAGCGUUAAUCGGAAUUACUGGGCGUAAAGCGCACGCAGGCGGUCUGUCAAGUCGGAUGUGAAAUCCCCGGGCUCAACCUGGGAACUGCAUUCGAAACUGGCAGGCUAGAGUCUUGUAGAGGGGGGUAGAAUUCCAGGUGUAGCGGUGAAAUGCGUAGAGAUCUGGAGGAAUACCGGUGGCGAAGGCGGCCCCCUGGACAAAGACUGACGCUCAGGUGCGAAAGCGUGGGGAGCAAACAGG